UACAGAGGGUGCGAGCGUUAAUCGGAAUUACUGGGCGUAAAGCGCGCGUAGACGGUUUUGUAAGUCAGAUGUGAAAUCCCCGGGCUCAACCUGGGAACUGCAUUUGAUACUGCAUGGCUAGAGUACGGUAGAGGGAAGCGGAAUUUCCGGUGUAGCGGUGAAAUGCGUAGAUAUCGGAAGGAACACCAGUGGCGAAAGCGGCUUCCUGGACCAGUACUGACGUUCAUGUGCGAAAGCGUGGGGAG
rnacentral:rRNA from 1 species